AUUGAACGCUGGCGGCAAGCCUAACACAUGCAAGUCGAACGAGUGGCGGACGGGUGAGUAAUGUCUGGGAAACUGCCUGAUGGAGGGGGAUAACUACUGGAAACGGUGGCUAAUACCGCAUACCAUCGGAUGUGCCCAGAUGGGAUUAGCUAGUAGGUGGGGUAAAGGCUCACCUAGGCGACGAUCCCUAGCUGGUCUGAGAGGCUGACCAGCCAAACUGGAAAUGAGAAACGGUCCAGACUCCUACGGGAGGCAGCAGUGGGGAAGUUUGUACAAGGGGCGCAAGCCUGAUGCAGCCAUGCCGCGUGUAUGAAGAAGGCCGUCGGGUUGUAAAGUACUUUUAGCGGGGAGGCGUUACCCGCAGAAGAAGCACCGGCUAACUCCGUGCCAGCAGCCGCGGUAAUUC
rnacentral:rRNA from 1 species